CCUACGGGUGGCAGCAGUAGGGAAUAUUGCUCAAUGGGGGAAACUCUGAAGCAGCAACGCCGCGUGGAGGAUGAAGGUUUUCGGAUUGUUAACUCCUUUUUUUAGAGAAGUUAAUGACGGUAUCUAACGAAUAAGCACCGGCUAACUCCGUGCCAGCAGCCGCGGUAAUACGGAGGGUGCAAGCGUUACUCGGAAUCACUGGGCGUAAAGAGCGCGUAGGCGGGAUAGCAAGUCAGAUGUGAAAUCCUAUGGCUUAACCAUAGAACUGCAUUUGAAACUGUUAUUCUUGAGUAUGGGAGAGGUAGGUGGAAUUCUUGGUGUAGGGGUAAAAUACGUAGAGAUCACGAGGAAUACUCAUUGCGAAGGCGACCUGCUAGAACAUAACUGACGCUGAUGCGCGAAAGCGUGGGGAGCAAACAGGAUUAGAUACCCCUGUAGUC
rnacentral:rRNA from 1 species